AGUUUCGGGAUCUGGGCUCCCAGCGUCCUCCUCCUCUGGUGCCGCCUCCCCUGAUACCCCCGGGGGCAGACAUCAUGGCUGGAGGCGGCCAAAGAACGGGGUUCUCCCACUCUACCAAUUUGGAAGGAACUGGGAUGGCUGGGGCCCCUCCCAGCUGCCUCUGAAACCUCCCAAACAGAUGGGCUUGUUUUAAGAGCCAGACAGCUUGAAGCUAGGACUCCCUGAGAGGAGGCAGUUGGACAAGGGGCUUCCUAGGUAGCCUGCACCUGUUACGGGGGAGAGGAUGCAGAAGGAUCCGUUCUAUAAAAUAAGAAUUAAAACAAAAUCCACUCCUCGUGCUCACGGACCACUCUUCCAUCUGUGGUCUCUGAAGCCUCAGGACAUUUACUGGCUGCUUCUCAGCCACGUGUAUUUAUUACAGAAAAUUUGGAAGAUAUAGAAAAGUCUAAGGAAAGAAAGAUCAGCCUUAAUCUGAUCACUCAGAGAUAAACCUGGUCAUUCCGGACUCUGCCGCCGCCAGUCCCUUGGUGAGACGUGAGCGCCAUUGGCGUCCGUGGCCUCUGUUUCCGUGGCAACCCAGUAACCAUUAAUUUUCAAUUAAAGGAGACAAAAAGCUCGAUGACAGCUCCAGGUCUGCUGAAGAUGUCAAGAAUCUGUAUUAAUAUACAGCAAGAGAGCAUAAUUGUGUGUCCAUCUUCCAGAGCAGCGAAAAAUGGAGGGAUAAUUACCGGCUCGAAAGCCACUCUGUAAUUUAGUUCUUACUGUCACCACAGCCCUACACAUUAGCAUAAAUUAAAAGCAGAGUUUAUUGUUAUCAAAGUGCAUUGA